CCAGCUCUCCGAGUGGUGCGGAUGUUUAUUGGGCCUAAAGCAUCCGUAGCUGGCUAGGUCAGUCCCUUGUUAAAUCCACCGAAUUAAUCGUUGGAUUGCGGGGGAUACUGCUUGGCUAGGGGACAAGAGAGGCAGACGGUAUUUUCGGGGUAGGGGUGAAAUCCUAUAAUCCCGGGAAGACCACCAGUGGCGAAGG
rnacentral:rRNA from 1 species